GACGAACGCUGGCGGCGUGCUUAACACAUGCAAGUCGAACGGUGAAGCGCCUUCCUUUUUGGUGGGUGUGGAUGAGUGGCGAACGGGUGAGUAACACGUGAGUAACCUGCCCCCUUCUUCUGGAUAACCGCAUGAAAGUGUGGCUAAUACGGGAUAUUCUGGGUCUGUCGCAUGAUGGGUCUGGGAAAGAUAUUGUUUCGGUGGGGGAUGGGCUCGCGGCCUGUCAGCUUGUUGGUGGGGUGAUGGCCUACCAAGGCGGUGACGGGUAGCCGGCCUGAGAGGGUGGACGGUCACACUGGGACUGAGACACGGCCCAGACUCCUACGGGAGGCAGCAGUGGGGAAUAUUGCACAAUGGGCGCAAGCCUGAUGCAGCGACGCCGCGGGAGGGAUGGAGGCCUUCGGGUUGUGAACCUCUUUCGCCAGUGAAGCAGGCCUGCCUCGUUUGUGGGUGGGUUGACGGUAGCUGGAUAAGAAGCGCCGGCUAACUACGUG
rnacentral:rRNA from 1 species